ACGAAUUUAUUGAGCCCCUACUGUGUGCCAGGCGUCGCCCUAGGCGCUGUGGAAACAUCAGCUCCCUCGGGGGUGGGAGGGGCGUGAGUGUGAAAAUGUAACUGUGAUAAGUGCUGUGGGAAGGGAAGACCGGGCUGCGGCCGCCACCGGCUACCACCCUGACCCCCGACUGGGGGUCCGAGAAGGCUUCCUGGAGAGUGUGCGCCUAGGCUGGGGCCUGGAGGGCGAGUCAGCAAGGUGAAGAGGGCAGGAAGAGUGUUGCAGACAGAAGGAACAGCAAAUGGGAAGCUCAGAGGCAGGGAGGGAGGCGGGAAGGGUAGGUGGACAGGUGAGUGGAUGGGGACGGGGGAGGAACGGGGGGCUGCAGGACCCCCUGGUCAAGUACAGGGUCAGAGCCCCCUAGCGGGAGGUGAGGGUUAGGGUCCCAGGUCGGGCCAUUAUCCCCUUUGGCCCUUUGGUCUGAAUCCCUGGCCAACAGGAAUGACCGCCGCCCCCACCCCAAGCCCACCGCAGAGUCCAGGCCCUCGGCCUCAGUCCCUUCCCUCCCCGUCCUGGGAGCCUGGAGCUGGGGUUAUUUAUAGACCAAGAUAACCCCCUGCCCCGGGCAGACGCUGGCCUCUCUCCAGCCGUUUCCUUCUAUUCUUCUGCUGUGUGUGGGGAGGGCCCUCUCCCCGGAGCCCCCCCUCCUUCUCUUCUCCUUAUCUCUCUCCGGGCUGUUUCCUGCCCCAGGGGACAGAGAGCGGGAGGCAGGCCCUGUGCAUGACUGUGAUAGGGAGCGAGGUUCCUGGAGGCUCCAGGGCCGGGCGCCUGCUGGGGAGGCCCCACGGCCACUCUCUCUGCUGGCAUGGGGCACCGAGGCUGGGGUGUCCAGAUGUGCGGGCCCUGCCUGCACGCGGGGCUGGGGUGGUGGGGCCGGUCCAUGUCGCAGCACGCGAUUUCUGCCUGGCUCUGCGUCCUCGGGCUGUGGAGGGAGCAUCCCGGUGUCGGUGUCCCCCUGAGAGGUGCCCUUCUCGUAUUUGGGUCCCCGGUGCCAGCCCAGUUCUCAUCGACAGGAGAGAAGGCCGUGCGCAGACUCGGUGGAUGUUAGACAGCCUCGGGUGAGCGUCCGGGCUCAGCCCCUCCCACCAGAAGAGCCAAGAGUCCUCACCGUUCUGGACAGUGUCGCUGUUGGGGUGUGGCGUCCUGGCUCAGAGCUCCGCAUUCCUGUCCACCUGCGGCUGUCACCUUCACGAUGGUUCUGUGGGGCUGCGAGCUCCUGACCAUCUCAUCGCGUCUCCCAGAGCGGCUAGGCUGGAGCACUGAUGUGUCCAACAAGGUUUCAUUUCACACGAGGUUCUUCAUGCUUCUUUAUAUUACAGCUGGGGUGUGACAUACGGGGAUUUUAAAAAGUUAUGUGAGUAUAUAGGUUACAGCAUCCAUGGGCUACCUUUCAGAGUAUUAAGAAGGAUAUGACGUAUUUUUAACAUAAAAGGAAGGGGUCGGGGUGAGAGUGCUGGGACCUGGGGUUUCGAGCUCCAACGAAGUUGUAAAAAUUCGGACGUCGAUGUCAGGGGCUCAGGACACAUUUGACAGGUGAACGAAUGAAUGCCUGGGGACAUAUUGUUGAAGGGGCUCUUUGAUGCCUUCAUGUACCACCCACAGGUGACCUCUUGUCUGGGCCCGCGUGAGGUAUUCUGCCCCCAGUUCCAGAACCUUCUAAGUUCCAGAACCAGCUAAGCACGAGACCGCCUUGGUCCUGGUAGCCAGCUCCUGGCUGGGUCAGAAGCUGCUCAGGAGAACUUUGUCCCUCCCCACGGGGUCCCUGAGCAGAUCUGAAGGCCCAGCCCGAGCUGGACCAGGCCCGCGGUCCUGCCAUCAGGGACCCUGCAGCUUCCGGGAUGCGAGCGGGACUCCCGGCCAGUCGGAGGGAGAAAUACUUGUCAAAAGAUCUCCAAACUGGGCGGGAGCAUGGACGCUUCUGCCCCUCUGUUCCUUCCUGCCCAGGGCGGGUAGCAUGGUCGACAGUCCAGCACGGCCCCUCCACAUCGGUGCUGGACACCCAGUCCACUCACUGAGCGUCUUCUUCUUUCCUUUGCUAACCCCACAUCACUCUAUUACUCUGUAAUUUGUUUUUAUGCUAAAUAACGUGUUUGGGACAAUUUUCCCGGGCUGCGCAUACACACCAGCUGCUGGUCAUUCUGGAGAUACCCCUCCAUCUAUUUGUCUUUAAGUUUUUCUGUUAAACUGUUUUUUCCCAUGGAAAGAAUACAUGCAUGUGGUUAAAAAAUAAUAAAAAGCAAAUGUCUCUAUUUUCCCAAA